rnacentral:rRNA from 1 species
AGUGAACGCUGGCGGCAGGCCUAACACAUGCAAGUCGAACGGCAGCACAGGGGAGCUUGCUCCCUGGGUGGCGAGUGGCGGACGGGUGAGGAAUACGUCGGAAUCUGCCUUUUCGUGGGGGAUAACGUAGGGAAACUUACGCUAAUACCGCAUACGACCUACGGGUGAAAGCCGGGGACCUUCGGGCCUGGCGCGGAAAGAUGAGCCGACGUCGGAUUAGCUAGUUGGAGGGGUAACGGCCCACCAAGGCGACGAUCCGUAGCUGGUCUGAGAGGAUGAUCAGCCACACUGGGACUGAGACACGGCCCAGACUCCUACGGGAGGCAGCAGUGGGGAAUAUUGGACAAUGGGCGAAAGCCUGAUCCAGCCAUGCCGCGUGUGUGAAGAAGGCCUUCGGGUUGUAAAGCACUUUUGUACGGGAAGAAAAGCCCUGGGUUAAUACCCCGGGGUCAUGACGGUACCGUAAGAAUAAGCACCGGCUAACUUC